rnacentral:rRNA from 1 species
ACGGAGGAUGCAAGCGUUAUCCGGAUUUAUUGGGUUUAAAGGGUGCGCAGGUUGUUUUAUAAGUCAGUGGUGAAAGUCUGUGGCUUAACGAUAGGAUUGCCAUUGAUACUGUAGGACUUGAGUAUGGAUGAGGUAGGCGGAAUGUGUAGUGUAGCGGUGAAAUGCAUAGAUAUUACACAGAACGCCGAUUGCGAAGGCGGCAUACUGGUCCAUCAUUGACGCUGAGGCGCGAAAGCGUGGGGAGCAAACAG